ensembl:rRNA 5S_rRNA 5S ribosomal RNA
UAGUAUUGCCAUACCACCCAGAAUUCGCCUGAUCUUAUCUGAUCUUGGAAGCUAAUCAGGGUUGGGCCUGGUUAGUACUCAAAUGGGAGACUGCCUAGGAAUACCAGGUGCCAUAGGCU